AUCCAGUUGGUGAGUCCUAAAUAAGACGAGACGCACGUCCUGCAU
rnacentral:hammerhead_ribozyme from 1 species